rnacentral:rRNA from 1 species
GCUAGCGUUGUUCGGAAUUACUGGGCGGAAAGCGCACGUAGGCGGCUAUUCAAGUCAGAGGUGAAAGCCCGGGGCUCAACCCCGGAACUGCCUUUGAAACUAGGUAGCUAGAAUCUUGGAGAGGUCAGUGGAAUUCCGAGUGUAGAGGUGAAAUUCGUAGAUAGUCGGAAGAACACCAGUGGCGAAGGCGACUGACUGGACAAGUAUUGACGCUGAGGUGCGAAAGCGUGGGGAGUAAACAGG